rnacentral:rRNA from 1 species
CGGAGGAAAAGAAACUAACAAGGAUUCCCCUAGUAACUGCGAGUGAAGCGGGAAAAGCUCAAAUUUAAAAUCUGUUAGCCUUUGGUUGACCGAGUUGUAAUUUAGAGAAGCGUUAUCCGCGUUGGACUGUGUAUAAGUUUCCUGGAAGGGGACAUCAUAGAGGGUGAGAAUCCCGUCUUUGACACAGACUACCAAGGCUUUGUGAUGCGCUCUCGAAGAGUCGAGUUGUUUGGGAAUGCAGCUCAAAAUGGGAGGUAAAUUCCUUCUAAAGCUAAAUAUUGGCGAGAGACCGAUAGCGAACAAGUACCGUGAGGGAAAGAUGAAAAGAACUUUGGAAAGAGAGUUAAACAGUACGUGAAAUUGCUAAAAGGGAAACGCUUGAAGUCAGUCGCGUUGGCUGGAAAUCAACCUUGCUCUUGCUUGGUGUAUUUUCUAGUCGACGGGUCAACAUCAGUUUUGAUUGCUGGAUAAAGUGUGAGGGAAUGUGGCAUCUUCGGAUGUGUUAUAGCCCUUGCUCGUAUACAGCGGUUGGGACUGAGGAACUCAGCACGCCGCAAGGCCGGGUCUUCGGACUACGUUCGUGCUUAGGAUGUUGGCAUAAUGGCUUUAAUCGACCCGUCUU